UACAGAGGGUGCGAGCGUUAAUCGGAAUUACUGGGCGUAAAGCGUGCGUAGACGGUUAUUUAAGUCGGGUGUGAAAGCCCCGGGCUCAACCUGGGAAUUGCAUUCGAGACUGAAUAGCUAGGGUGCGGAAGAGGGAAGCGGAAUUUCCGGUGUAGCGGUGAAAUGCGUAGAUAUCGGAAGGAACACCCGUGGCGCAAGCGGCCACCUGGCUGCCAACUGACGCUGAGGCACGAGAGCGUGGGGAGCGAACCGG
rnacentral:rRNA from 1 species